rnacentral:rRNA from 1 species
GACGAACGCUGGCGGCGCGCUUAACACAUGCAAGUCGAACGGAAAGGCCUGCUUUCCCUUGUGGAUUGCGGGUACUCGAGUGGCGAACGGGUGAGUAACACGUGAGUGAUCUGCCCCCAACUUGGGUAUAAGCCUGGGAAACUGGGUCUAAUUCCCGAUAGGACUGCAGGGUGGUGCCUGUGGUGGAAAACGAUUUUCUAGUGGUUGGGGAUGAGCUCGCGGCCUAUCAGCUUGUUGGUGGGGUAAUGGCCUACCAAGGCGGCGACGGGCAGCCGGCCUGAGAGGGUGGACGGCCACAUUGGGACUGAGAUACGGCCCAGACUCCUACGGGAGGCAGCAGUGGGGAAUAUUGCACAAUGGGCGGAAGCCUGAUGCAGCGACGCCGCGUGGGGGAUGACGGCCUUCGGGUUGUAAACUCCUUUCGACCGCGAGGAAGCCACCUGGUUGGAAGGGUGGUGACGGUAGUGGUAGAAGAAGCACCGGCUAACUACGUG